CGCUAUCACUCCUACGGGGAGGCAGCAGUAGGGAAUCUUCCACAAUGGGCGCAAGCCUGAUGGAGCAACACCGCGUGAGUGAAGAAGGGUUUCGGCUCGUAAAGCUCUGUUGUUAAAGAAGAACACGUAUGAGAGUAACUGUUCAUACGUUGACGGUAUUUAACCAGAAAGUCACGGCUAACUACGUGCCAGCAGCCGCGGUAAUACGUAGGUGGCAAGCGUUAUCCGGAUUAUUGGGCGUAAAGAGAGUGCAGGCGGUUUUCUAAGUCUGAUGUGAAAGCCUUCGGCUUAACCGGAGAAGUGCAUCGGAAACUGGAUAACUUGAGUGCAGAAGAGGGUAGUGGAACUCCAUGUGUAGCGGUGGAAUGCGUAGAUAUAUGGAAGAACACCAGUGGCGAAGGCGGCUACCUGGUCUGCAACUGACGCUGAGACUCGAAAGCAUGGGUAGCGAACAGGAUUAGAUACCCCUGGUAG
rnacentral:rRNA from 1 species